rnacentral:rRNA from 1 species
AUUGAACGCUGGCGGCAGGCCUAACACAUGCAAGUCGAGCGAGUGGCGGACGGUUGAGUAAUGUCUGGGGAUCUGCCCGAUGGAGGGGGAUAACUACUGGACACGGUGGCUAAUACCGCAUACUAUCGGAUGAACCCAUAUGGGAUUAGCUGGUUGGUGGGGUAAAGGCUCACCGAGGCCACGAUCCCUAGCUGGUCUGAGAGGAUGAUCAGCCACACUGGAACUGAGACACGGACCAGAGUCCUACGGGAGGCAGCAGUGGGGAAUAUUGCACAAUGGGGGCAAGACUGAGGCAGCCAUGCCGCGUGUAUGAAGAAGGCCUUAGGGUUGUAAAGUACUUUCAGCGGGGAGGCGUUACCCGCAGAAGAAGCACCGGCUAACUCCGUGCCAGCAGCCGCGGUAAUUC